GAUGAACGCUGGCGGCGUGCCUAAUACAUGCAAGUCGAGCGAACGGACGAGAAGCUUGCUUCUCUGAUGUUAGCGGCGGACGGGUGAGUAACACGUGGAUAACCUACCUAUAAGACUGGGAUAACUUCGGGAAACCGGAGCUAAUACCGGAUAAUAUUUUGAACCGCAUGGUUCAAAAGUGAAAGACGGUCUUGCUGUCACUUAUAGAUGGAUCCGCGCUGCAUUAGCUAGUUGGUAAGGUAACGGCUUACCAAGGCAACGAUGCAUAGCCGACCUGAGAGGGUGAUCGGCCACACUGGAACUGAGACACGGUCCAGACUCCUACGGGAGGCAGCAGUAGGGAAUCUUCCGCAAUGGGCGAAAGCCUGACGGAUCAACGCCGCGUGAGUGAUGAAGGUCUUCGGAUCGUAAAACUCUGUUAUUAGGGAAGAACAUAUGUGUAAGUAACUGUGCACAUCUUGACGGUACCUAAUCAGAAAGCCACGGCUAACUACG
rnacentral:rRNA from 1 species